GAGCCAGUUGGUAAAAGGUUUCAGCGUGUGUUUAUUGCUGCUUUGUUCUCCAACAUUUCUGGGGCCUCCUGGCAGCUCUUUGGUCUGCAGCAAGCGACACAGCCCUCAAGGACUACAAAGCCCAGACAAAUCCCAGGCUCUAACCAUUGCCUGGGGCUGAUGUAGAACAGCUGGAAGCCUCUCCACUGGACCUCAGACUGCUGCCCAGAACUCUGAGUGAACCCAGGGCAGGAGCCCUUCAUGCUCUUAGAGAGACCCUUACAAUUAUAGUCCUGGGAAAGAAAGCAGAGCGCUCAAGUGGAGAAGAGUUAUCCCAGGUGAAGGGCCCAAGCCGGCACCUUCCCGUUGCUGUCCUGCUGCUCUGCACGGUCUGCUUCAACCCAGGAGGCCAUGGGGAGCCCCUGGUCCCACCUUCCUGCUCCCUGAACCUCUGGACCCAAGCUGGCUUCCUUGGCUCCUACUGCAGAGAGCAAGGCCUGGAGAACAGCUUCCAAUGGAUUACAUGCAAGGGCCUUUUGAGGAGAACUAGGGUUCCCACUCCCAGUGGCUCUUACACCUUUCCUUCACUUUAGACUUUCAUCUGUUCACCAACCCCAUGUCUGGGGUGCUAGGCUUGCCCUAUAGGUCCUUCUUCCGAUGGGAUUGCUCUAAGACCCCAGGUGUUAUGACUUGUGUCUAGAUGUCCCCCCAAAGCCUCAUGUAGUAUCAGUGGAGUUUUGUUAGAGUGGCUGGAUCUAGAGUGUGUGAUGCUGGGACUGAUUCAUGGUGCAAUGUUAAGAUCAAGAGCACUAGGAUUAAGGUAUGAGUGCUACCUGCCCUAAGUAGCCUGGAUGAAAUACAAGGGAUAGAAAGAAAUAUGGUUGUCCCAAAAACUGUUUCUUGUCUGCAAUGUCACCCUGCUAUGGCGCCAGUCAACUAUGAACUGAAACCUCUAUAAACUGUGAGCUAAA